rnacentral:rRNA from 1 species
CGUGUAGGUGGUCAGGUAAGUCAGAUGUGAAAGCCUUCUGCUUAACAGAAGAAGUGCAUUUGAAACUGCUUGGCUAGAGUACGGGAGAGGAGAGUGGAAUUCCCGGUGUAGAGGUGAAAUUCGUAGAUAUCAGGAGGAACACCAGUGGCGAAGGCGGCUCUCUGGUCCGAUACUGACGCUGAGACGCGAAAGCGUGGGGAGCAAACAGGAUUAGAUACCCUGGUAGUCCACGCCGUAAACGAUGGGCACUAGGUGUAGGAGGUAUUGACCCCUUCUGUGCCGAAGCUAACGCAUUAAGUGCCCCGCCUGGGGAGUACGGCCGCAAGGCUAAA